rnacentral:rRNA from 1 species
UACGUAGGUCCCGAGCGUUGUCCGGAUUUAUUGGGCGUAAAGCGGGCGCAGGUGGUUUAUUAAGUCUGGUGUAAAAGGCAGUGGCUCAACCAUUGUAUGCAUUGGAAACUAGUAGACUUGAGUGCAGGAGAGGAGAGUGGAAUUCCAUGUGUAGCGGUGAAAUGCGUAGAUAUAUGGAGGAACACCGGUGGCGAAAGCGGCUCUCUGGCCUGUAACUGACACUGAGGCUCGAAAGCGUGGGGAGCAAACAGG